UACAGAGGAGCCAAGCGUUGUCCGGUUUGACUGGGCGUAAAGCGCACGCAGGCGGUUGAGCGCGUGGGGUGGUAAAUCUGGCCGCUUAACGGCCAGGCGCCAUCCCAUACGGCACAACUGGAGGGCUGCAGAGGUCGAUGGAAUUGCCGGUGUAGUGGUGAAAUGCGUAGAGAUCGGCAGGAACACCCAGGGGGAAACCAGUCGACUGGGCAGCACCUGACUCUGAGGUGCGAGAGCGUGGGGAGCGAACCGG
rnacentral:rRNA from 1 species